CCCACACCCAUGUGUGUAAGACCCCAAAGGAUCACCAUUAAAUUUAGCACAAAUCUCUAGAAAAGUUAUCACAUGGGUGUGGGACUUGACUUUUCUAGAGAUCUGUGCCAAAUUUAAUGGCGAUCAUUUAGGGUCCUACAUACAUGAGUGUGGG
rnacentral:pre_miRNA from 1 species